rnacentral:rRNA from 1 species
CUACGGGGUGCACCAGUGAGGAAUUUUGCGCAAUGGGGGAAACCCUGACGCAGCAACGCCGCGUGAGUGAUGAAGGCUUUCGGGUCGUAAAGCUCUGUCAAGUGGGAAGAACCUGUCUGGUGUUAAUACCACCGGGCACUGACGGUACCACUGAGGGAAGCACCGGCUAACUCCGUGCCAGCAGCCGCGGUAAUACGGGGGGUGCAAGCGUUAUUCGGAAUCAUUGGGCGUAAAGAGCACGUAGGCGGUUUCAUAAGUCAGAUGUGAAAGCCCGGGGCUUAACCUCGGAAGUGCAUUUGAAACUAUGAAACUUGAGUAUGGGAGAGGGAAGUGGAAUUCCUGGUGUAGAGGUGAAAUUCGUAGAUAUCAGGAGGAACACCGGUGGCGAAGGCGACUUCCUGGACCAAUACUGACGCUGAGGUGCGAAGGCGUGGGUAGCAAACAGGAUUAGAUACCCUCGUAGUC